AGUAAAAGCAAACUUUUUAUUAGGCACGUCGAUCCUAUUUCGCCCCCCAAAAAUACUCGAUGAACUUCGUAUUGUCUACUCUUUAAGAGUUAUUACAUAUUUAAACUUUUCUAAAUGACGUAGCUAAUAAAGAGAAAUUUGAAGGCAACACGGAACGCAGAACCGCAGGGUACACGCAAGUAACGUGAGGAUUCGAAUACCGGAUCGACGUACAAAUUACCUUUAGGAGCAAGUUAUUUAG
rnacentral:misc_RNA from 1 species